rnacentral:rRNA from 1 species
UGAGUACGAGAUGCUACGGCAUCGAAGCAGUCUAUGUCAUACUUCCAAGAAAAGCUUGCAAUGUCAUAAACAAAUAAUGCCUGUACCAUAACCGACACAGGUGGGUAGGUAGAGUAUACUAAGGGGCGCGAGAUAACUCUCUCUAAGGAACUCGGCAAAAUGACUCCGUAACUUCGGGAGAAGGAGUGCCUUAUUUUUAUAAGGUUGCAAUAACAAGAUCCAAGCAACUGUUUACCAAAAACACAGGUCUCCGCUAAGUCGUAAGACGAUGUAUGGGGGCUGACGCCUGCCCAGUGCCAGAAGGUUAAAGAAGUUGGUUAGCAUUAGCGAAGCUGAUAACUGAAGCCCUGGUGAACGGCGGCCGUAACUAUAACGGUCCUAAGGUAGCGAAAUUCCUUGUCGGGUAAGUUCCGACCCGCACGAAAGGCGUAAUGAUUUGGAUACUGUCUCGGAGAGGGGCUCGGUGAAAUAGACUUGUCUGUGAAGAUGCGGACUACCUGCACCUGGACAGAAAGACCCUAUGAAGCUUUACUGUAACUUGAGAUUGAAAUUGGACUUUAUCUGCGCAGUAUAGGUGGGAGACGUUGAAAAUAUUCUUGCGGGAAUAUUGGAGUCAUCAGUGAGAUACCACUCUUAUAAUGUUAGAUUUCUAACUUUGUAUCAUUAUCUGGUCAAAGAACAGUUUCAGGCGGGCAGUUUGACUGGGGCGGUCGCCUCCCAAACGGUAACGGAGGCGCACAAAGGUUUCCUCUGAACGUGUAGAAAUCGUAUCUAGAGUGUAAAGGCAUAAGGAAGCUUGACUGUGAGACCUACAAGUCGAGCAGGGACGAAAGUCGGUCUUAGUGAUCUGACGGUGCUGAGUGGAAAGGCCGUCACUCAACGGAUAAAAGUUACUCUAGGAUAACAGGCUGAUCUCCCCCAAGAGUUCACAUCGACGGGGAGGUUUGGCACCUCGAUGUCGGCUCAUCGCAUCCUGGGGCGGUAGUACGUCCCAAGGGUUGGGCUGUUCGCCCAUGAAAGCGGUACGCGAGCUGGGUUCAGAACGUCGUGAGACAGUUCGGUCCAUAUCCGGUGUAGGCGUUAGAAUAUUGAGAGGAGCCUUCUUUAGUACGAGAGGACCGAGAAGGACAUACCUCUGGUGUACCAGUUAUCGUGCCAACGGUAAACGCUGGGUAGCCAUGUAUGGAGAGGAUAACCGCUGAAAGCAUCUAAGUGGGAAGCCCACCUCAAGAUAAG